UCAUGCCUUGAUCUCCAAGCCAUUUUCCUUCUCAUUCACUCUACUUGACUCUACAAAUCAGAUACAAUUUCAACUAAAUUCCAACCAAAAAAAAAAAAUCAAAUUUCAAUUUCAUUUUCUCAGUUUCUUUGAUUCGAACCAUCUCCCACCACCAUCAGUCACCACCAACAACCACUGCCACCAUUAACCGCCCCACCUCCCAGCUUCGUUGGCCGACCACCACCGCCCUACCACCAUUACUCAUCCCACCUACCUUCGUCGCCGGCAAGAACCCGACCCAAAUCCACCACUCAAACUCCCCUGCUUCCUGGUUUUCGCACCCCUCCCCUGUCUUUUCUGUCCUUCGCGUCCAUCCGCCGGCAAGGCGGUGCCGUCGCGCUCCACCACUCCCUUUGCCGCUCUCUCUCUCCCUCCUCCUCAAUCGACCACCGUACACCCUUCGUCGCUCUCCCUCCUCAAUCGACUCCCCUGCCAUCUCUCCUCCGCGCUCAGCCACCGCGCCUCCGUUCUGGCGUGCCGCCUCCUCCGCGCACAGACCCGCCGUCCCUUAUUCCUUUCCUCCUUCCUCUGUCGUAAUUCGGGCUCGGAGCUCAGGAAGAACGAACCAACGAAAAGGCUUAGCAAAUCGCGGAAUUGAGGUACUGCUGGGGACCACGGAAACGAGUAGUGGCGAGGAUUUCACUAUUACCAAGUUCACCUAAGUUAAUGUUAAGUUGUAACAAGUUUAAGUAAAGAUUCUUGAUUAAGUUACGUACUUUUAUUAAAGAAUUGAGAAGGAUGAUUAUGUUAAUUUUGGAGUUUAAUAGCUUAUGAUUGAUAGUUGCCUUGUAAUUCCCAAGAGGGAGUUACGGCAGGUAAUGUCCCGAUCGAAUUAGGUUAAUUCCGCUGCUAAUUAUGAUUAAAUAAUUGAAUUAGAGGUCGGGGUGUUACAAUUAUAGUCUUAUUUCCUUAUUCGAAUGUAAAGUACUUUUCAUAUUACCCUCAUUUGGGGAAUUUUUUUUUGAAAAAACUUCUCAUAUUCCCUUCUCCAUGCACUUUUAUUCCUUUUUACAUGUACUAUAUUCUACGAAUACUUUCUAAUCAUCAAUGUACUAUUAC